AUACGGAGGGUGCAAGCGUUAUUCGGAAUCACUGGGCGUAAAGGGUGCGUAGGCGGUUUGAUAAGUCUGAUGUGAAAUCCUAUGGCUCAACCAUAGAACUGCAUUGGAAACUGUCAGACUAGAAUACUGAAGGGGCAGAUGGAAUUAGUGGUGUAGGGGUAAAAUCCGUAGAUAUCACUAGGAAUACCGAAAGCGAAAGCGAUCUGCUGGGAAGUUAUUGACGCUGAGGCACGAAAGCGUGGGGAGCAUACGGGAUUAGAAACCCCAGUAGUCC
rnacentral:rRNA from 1 species